AUGGAGGCACCGAGAAAUCACGGCGCGCCAUGCCUGCUCCUUCUGCUGGCACUAGCUGCCCAAUGGUGCAGUGUCUCGACGGCGAGCUGCAGCUUCACGAUAUCCAACUACUGCACUCACACCAUCUGGCCGGGGACGAUGGCCGGCGCGGGCACGCCGCAGCUGCCCACGACGGGGUUCAGGCUAGACCCCGGGCAGACCGUGCGGAUCCCGGCGCCGGCCGGUUGGUCCGGCCGGAUAUGGGCGCGCACGGGGUGCAACUUCAGCACCGACGGCUCAGGCGCGGCCGCCGGCGCGGUCGCGUGCCAGACCGGCGACUGCGGUGGUGGACACAUGGAGUGCGGCGGCACGGGCGGGAAGCCGCCAGCGACGCUCUUCGAGAUCACGCUGGGGAAGGGCGGCCCCGCCGACCAGGACUUCUAUGACGUGAGCCUCGUCGACGGGUACAACCUGCCCGUCGUCGCCGUCCCGCGGGCGCGGCAGGGCAGCUGCAAUGCCACCGGCUGCGCCGCCGACCUCAACCUCUCAUGUCCCAAGGAGCUGCAGGUGGCCGGCGGCAAUGGUGGCGGCCCGGUGGCAUGCCAGAGCGCGUGCGAGGCGUUCACGCAGGACAAGUACUGCUGCAGUGGCGCCUACGCGACGCCAGACACCUGCAGCCCGACGGCCUACUCGUCCGUCUUCAAGUCGGCGUGCCCGCGGGCCUACAGCUACGCCUACGACGACGGCAGCAGCCUCUUCACCUGCAACGCCGUCGACUACACCAUCGCGUUCUGCCUCCCUCCAGCCGGGUUGAACAUGCCUGCUGAUGCUAACGGUGCUCCUCCUGCUGACAACAAUGGUGGUGGAAGCGCAUACGUGCCGCCCCCGACAGGCAACAGCGGGGCUGGGAGCGUCUACCAGCCACCCCCUGCAGGUAACAAUGGUGCCGGAAGUGCCUACCAGCCGCCUCCAACAGGCAACAAUGGCGUCGGAAGUGCCUACCAGACACCUCCGACUGGCACCAAUGGCAUUGGAAGCACCUACGAGACACCCUUGGCUAGCAGCAAUGGCGUCGGAAGUGCCUUCCAGCCGCCCCUGACGGGCGACGACAAUGGCGUGAGAAGCGCCUACCAGCCGGGGAUGACCCCGUCGUCGGCGAGCACGCGAUACGGUCAGCUAUGGUUUCUGCUACCUGCAGCGCUCGUGUUCUUUAAAUGA
rnacentral:rRNA from 1 species